GACGUAGGGCGCGAGCGUUGUCCGGAUUUAUUGGGCGUAAAGAGCUCGUAGGCGGCUUGUUGCGUCGACCGUGAAAACCCGGGGCUCAACUUCGGGCUUGCGGUCGAUACGGGCGGGCUAGAGUUCGGUAGGGGAGACUGGAAUUCCUGGUGUAGCGGUGAAAUGCGCAGAUAUCAGGAGGACCACCGGUGGCGAAGGCGGGUCUCUGGACAGUUCCUGACGCUGAGGCACGAAGGUCAGGGGAGCAAACGGG
rnacentral:rRNA from 1 species